CCCUAACCCCACCUCACAAAAGCCCGUAAGGCCAUGGUGAAGAGCAAACACCUCUCCUCCCACUCCAUGACGCAGGUUAUACCUGCCUUGACUGACUCGCCUGAGGCAGUCACAGAUGGCGCGCUACCACCGCGCAAAAGAGCCCCUGGUCAGGCAAAAACUGCCAGAUUAUGGAAACGGGCUAGAUCCCGUGAAGAGGGGUCGGAGAGCGACCGGAGUGAGGAGGAUGAGUCUGAG